GCCUUCCUAGCUCAGUGGUAGAGCGCGUCACUAGUAAUGACGAGGUCGUCAGUAAGUUAUAUCCAAACAUAGAUUGCGUACAAGACUCGUUGCUGACGAUGCCGUGAAGGUUCAAUUCUGGCGGAAGGCA